rfam:Canis lupus familiaris chromosome 28, whole genome shotgun sequence.
AUAAAGGUUUUCCUAAAAACCAUCUUUUUUGUUAAAAAAAAAAAA